CAACUGUAAUACUUAAACUUUCACAACUACUGUUAUCAACAAAUGCACGUGCGUUUGUUUACAAUUUACCGGAUGUUUACAACAAGUAGGAUGCGCCGGCAUCUAUUGCACGUCAUUACCAUCGUGACGUAUUGCAUUCCUAACAUACCAAAGAUAAGAGAAGGUUUCAGCAGUAUCCCAUGCUGAGCGCAUGAAAAAUCGGAUUACAUUAAUCACUAUCAACACGUGUGUGAGGAACAAUAAUGACCUGAGAUAAUCAUUUAACAAUAGGGAAUACCACCGAUCAUUAUUUAUUUAAUUUACAUUAAGAUAAGAAAAUAAUCUUUACCGUUAAAUGGAUAAUAAAAUUGAUUACAAGUUAAAGACUUAAUUAAUUAACAAAUCUAAUUACUCAUUUUUCUGCUUACGAAAAGUAAG
rnacentral:lncRNA from 1 species